rnacentral:tRNA from 1 species
GGGGAUUUAGCUCACCUGGUAGAGCGCAACGCUGGCAGCGUUGAGGUAACCGGUUCGAUCCCGGUAAUCUCCACCA